UAAUCAUAUGUUUUUUUUAAAAAAAUUGGAACGACAUAGAAAAGAUUAGCAUAGCCCCUGCACAAGGAUGACAUGCACAAAUCGAGAAAAUUAUGUAUAUUAU